rnacentral:rRNA from 1 species
CCUACGGGAGGCAGCAGUGGGGAAUAUUGGACAAUGGGGGGAACCCUGAUCCAGCUAUGCCGCGUGUGUGAAGAAGGCCCUCGGGUUGUAAAGCACUUUCAGUGAGGAAGAACGCCUGGUGGUUAAUACCCAUCAGGAAAGACAUCACUCACAGAAGAAGCACCGGCUAACUCCGUGCCAGCAGCCGCGGUAAUACGGAGGGUGCGAGCGUUAAUCGGAAUUACUGGGCGUAAAGCGCGCGUAGGUGGCUUGAUAAGCCGGUUGUGAAAGCCCCGGGCUCAACCUGGGAACGGCAUCCGGAACUGUCAAGCUAGAGUGCAGGAGAGGAAGGUAGAAUUCCCGGUGUAGCGGUGAAAUGCGUAGAGAUCGGGAGGAAUACCAGUGGCGAAGGCGGCCUUCUGGACUGACACUGACACUGAGGUGCGAAAGCGUGGGUAGCAAACAGGAUUAGAUACCCUUGUAGUC